AACAUACCCAUUUGUUAAGACCACCUUCCACUUGCUAAGACCAUUAUCCUUCCCCUUGGACCUUCCCAGGGUCUGGACCCACUCAGAGAAUUCUCCGCCCAGAAAAAGCCUGCCUAGAGUCCUUUAAAAUUUCUGACUUUCCGUCCCUGGUUGCUGGUGCCAUUUGUGGCUCAGCCCAUUCGGGAUACAGACGAUCUAAGAAAUUCACAAUUCUUUACCACUUUUGACCUUGUGCUUUCCUUCUUCGGCGACCUUGGGUAAGUUAAUUCAACUUUAAGU